rnacentral:rRNA from 1 species
UACGGAGGGGGCUAGCGUUGUUCGGAAUUACUGGGCGUAAAGCGCACGUAGGCGGCUUUGUAAGUUAGAGGUGAAAGCCCGGGGCUCAACUCCGGAAUUGCCUUUAAGACUGCAUCGCUAGAAUUGUGGAGAGGUGAGUGGAAUUCCGAGUGUAGAGGUGAAAUUCGUAGAUAUUCGGAAGAACACCAGUGGCGAAGGCGACUCACUGGACACAUAUUGACGCUGAGGUGCGAAAGCGUGGGGAGCAAGCAGG